GGAUUGGAGCAACCUUCACCUUCAUCUCUUGAUGAUUAAUGCACAUAUAAAGGUAAUUCAAUUAUAGAAUAUCUAGUGGGCAUCUGAUAAUGGUUUUUUUACUGGAAACUGAUUAUUAGAAGGAGAGGAUGCCAUGACGAGAAACAAGAGGACUGUACUGUAGUUACAAAUAUGCGUUUCCAGAGUGGGAUACUGAUCUUGGAUCUGCAAGUUGAUCUGACUCUUAAGCUCCAGAAAAGUUUGAUAUUGCUUAUUAUUGUUCUCAAA
rnacentral:misc_RNA from 1 species